AUGGUAUCUUUAUUUUGGUUUUCACAUAAUACAUUGAUUUUGUUGUUGUUUUCUUUUAUAUAGACUUGUUAUUUUGGACUUGAAAAAUAUUGCACUAAUGCUAUGGAGAGUUCCUGUAUAACUUUGCAUUUGCUUUUCUAGAGCUGCCAUAACAAAGUAUCACAAACUGAGGGGCUUAGAACAAACGAAAUGGAUUGUCUUACACUGCUGGAGCAACUAAAAUCAAGGUGUUGGCAGAAUCAUUCUUCCUCUGAAACCUGCAGGGAGCAAUUGUUGCUUACAAUCCUCCGGGUGUCUGCUGUUUGCUGGCAUUCUUUGGCUUUCCUCAGUGCACAGAUCCUUCACUCAAUCCUUGGUCUUCCCAUCGCUGACUUCCCCCUAUGCACGCCUGUCUCUGUAUCAAAUUUUCCCUACAAAAGUAGGAAACAUGAAUUCUACUUUUGUGCAGCAUGUCCCCAGGAGGCUUAUCUGCUACAUCUGCAAGGACUAUUUCACAGACCCCUUCACCCUUAGCUGUGGGCACAACUUUUGUACUCCAUGUCUCUGCCUCCUGUGAGAGGAUGCUCAGCAUCCUACUCACUGCUCUGUGUGCAGGACAGUAUCUCCAUGAAUAGACUUCAAAGGCAUUGUUUUCGCUGUGAAACAGGUUCGUGUUUCCAAAGAAUCCAUUGCCUGCCAGUUACCGAACUCUGCCAAGCAAGUCUGUAGGAUACACCUAGUAUUAAAGGACCUCUUCUGUCCAACUGAAAAGAGCCCGCUGUGUUUGCACUGCUCCAGUUCCCAAAGGCAUGCCACUCACAGACACUCACCAGUGUCACAAGCCGCUGAGCAGUGCAGGGAGAAACUUCUGAUGCAAAUGAAAUCUAUUUGGAAAAGCAGACAGGAAAAUCAGAAAAAUCUAAACAAAGAGUACAACUUGUUUAGAGCAUGGAAGUUAAGAGUAGGCCCUGUUUCCCUUGGAACCAG